GAGCACUGACUGCUCUUCCAAAGGUCCUGAGUUCAAUUCCCAGCAACCACAUGGUGGCUCACAACCAUCUGUAAUGGGAUCUGCAAACAGACAAUCUAACUUCCUCUAAUGAUUGUCACCAUCCUGGGUGGACUGCUGAGCUACUGAGUCACAUCUCUCUUCUGGGCACACUACAAAAGUUGUCUGUGGAGUUGAAAUGCUUAUUGCAGUAACCUCUGACCUUACGUGAUUUAAGGUUGAGAGCCUUUGGGAACGUGCUGUAUGACAUUGGCGCAAGUCCUCACCGUCUGCCGUGGCCAUCCUUGG